UUGGUUACCUUGGAAUCCUGAUGUUAUACUGUAGAGCCUUGGUUUAGUGAGAUAAAUGUCAAGGUGAUGAAUUAUGAUAGCUAUGUAGUGGAACAAAGGGGAUACUGAGAAACAAUAGCCACAGAUCAUUUUUCGUUGCUUUUUCCCAAAUCAAGCCACAACGUUUUGCAAUAAAAAGCAAAUAUUCCACGGAGACAAUCUCAAUUCCUAAUGACAAAGAUCAGCAGUGCAUCAAAACCAUUUUCUUCACAGCAUUAAGAUAGUGGUUUCCCACUGUCUCCUUCGACUUCCUGGUACAUAGCCCACAGCCAUGGAUUUCUCUGGUGGUCUCUGUUCAAAGUAAUGAGCAGAGCAGGCCCUGUUUUUCAAAUACUACCAGCUAAGAUCAGUUAGGUGCCACCAAAAAUGAAUCUUUAAAGUCCAAAUGCAUAUAGUUGUUUCUAUAUAAAUAACAGAAAGCACA